rnacentral:misc_RNA from 1 species
GAAAUGCGAUAAGUAAUGUGAAUUGCAGAAUUCAGUGAAUCAUCGAAUCUUUGAACGCAGCUUGCGCUCCUUGGUAUUCCUUGGAGCAUGCCUGUUUGAGUAUCAUGAAAUCUUCAAAGUAAAUCUUUUGUUAACUCAAUUGGUUUCUACUUUGGUAUUGGAGGUCUUUGCAGCUUCACACCUGCUUCUCUUUGUUCAUUAGCUGGAUCUCAGUGUUAUGCUUGGUUCCACUCGGCGUGAUAAGUUAUCUAUCGCUGAGGACACUGUAAAAGGUGGCCAAGGUAAAUGCAGAUGAACCGCUUCUAAUAGUCCAUUGACUUGGACAAUACUUUUAUGAUCUGAUCUCAAAUCAGGUAGGACUACCCGCUGAACUUAAGC